ACUGAAAAGUAUAACAAAGAAAACAAACCGGAGCAUGCAUCAACUAUCUUGGAGGAUGCAAAAUUUAGAGUGGAAGACAAAGGUUUGGGCUAUUCACACGGUACACUAUCAUGGUCACUAAUCUACCGUUGUUGCUCGAGUUGAUAUAGUUGUGGUGUGAAUUAUUGAUCUGUGAAUGUAUCGUGCGCUGAUUUCAGCAGCCCUGGAAGUGUAAUUAGGACCCAAAUGUAUUUGGCAGUUACUGCAGUUGUAUAAAGUUAUCUGCAUCUGGAAUAAUGAAAUGUUGUAGUAUGAGAUUUUUUAUAAAUUUAAGAUAUG